rnacentral:rRNA from 1 species
CCUACGGGAGGCAGCAGUGGGGAAUCUUGCGCAAUGGGCGAAAGCCUGACGCAGCAACGCCGCGUGAGGGACGAAGGUUUUCUGAAUUGUAAACCUCUUUCAGUCAGGGAAGAUAAUGACGGUACCUGCAGAAGAAGCACCGGCUAACUACGUGCCAGCAGCCGCGGUGAUACGUAGGGUGCAAGCGUUGUCCGGAUUUAUUGGGCGUAAAGAGCUCGUAGGCGGUUUGGUAAGUCGGUUGUGAAAUCCCCAGGCUCAACCUGGGGCCUGCAUUCGAUACUGCCAUGACUAGAGUUUGGUAGGGGACCACGGAAUUCCUGGUGUAGCGGUGGAAUGCGCAGAUAUCAGGAGGAACACCAGUAGCGAAGGCGGUGGUCUGGGCCAAUACUGACGCUGAGGAGCGAAAGCGUGGGGAGCAAACAGGAUUAGAUACCCUGGCAAGUCCACGCCGUAAACGGUGGGCACUAGGUGUGGGGAACUAUUCAACGGUUUCCGCGCCGACGCUAACGCAUUAAGUGCCCCGCCUGGGGGAGGUACGGCCGCGACGACGUAAACUACAAGGAAGUAGACGGCGUGAGACGUAGCCGACGGACGACGACGAGGGAGGUAGG